AUGGUGCGUAGCAAUACAAGUCGAGGUAGUAUAGGAGGUACAGGCGGAGGCAAGCGAUUUCAAUAUGGUCCAAGCAGCCUCGCGCCUCUUCCGCAGAGGCCUUACGACAAGUCCGAGGAGGAAAAUGCAGCCAUAUCGAAGGCCGAGGUGGAAGCCCAUUUUGCACCGAAACCGCCACCGCCGCCAAGGGAGAAAGUGCCUGAGGAAAAGAUUGACCAUUUCAUUCGUAUGGCUAGACCACCAGCUCCCAAGCCUGUUGACACAGACUAUGAGCGCCACCUCAGGAAGUUAAAUCGAGCACGUCUACAGAAAGAGGCGAGCUCGAGCAAAUCAGCUGUCAAAAAAUGUGGUAAAACCGUUCGCCAGCUGGGAGAACAGGUGGCGCAAUCAAUCCCCCCGCUUGUUAUGCCAACAACACAUGAGAGUACACGCGCCCAAUAUUAUUGUGGGCAAACCGUUAACGUUUCCCAGCUGGGCGAUGUGGUAAUAACCAAGAAGCAUAUAAGGCAGGAUGAAAUCCUCAAGAUCACUGUUGAACAACUCCUCGAGAUCGAGCCCAUGUCUCCGCUUAGAGAGGAGGAAAUAAAACGGAAAUAUGUCCGAGGCCAACCUUUGGUCGAGCCAGACGAGGUCAAGAAGCUCCCAACGAGAAUGUAUGAAUUGCAUCAAUGGUACAUGAACAUUACCAAGAUUUCCAAUCGAGAGUCCCUCAUGGUGAAUGUCAAGAAGGAUCAUUACUACCAUGAGAAAGCUGUGUCCGUUGAGUAUUCA
rnacentral:rRNA from 1 species